rnacentral:rRNA from 1 species
UACGUAGGGGGCGAGCGUUGUCCGGAAUCAUUGGGCGUAAAGCGCGUGUAGGCGGCCCGAUUAGUCCGCUGUGAAAGUCCAGGGCUCAACCCUGGGAUGCCGGUGGAUACUGUCGGGCUCGAGUCCGGAAGAGGCGAGUGGAAUUCCUGGUGUAGCGGUGAAAUGCGCAGAUAUCAGGAGGAACACCAGUGGCGAAGGCAGCUCGCUGGGACGUGACUGACGCUGAGACGCGAAAGCGUGGGGAGCAAACAGG